rnacentral:rRNA from 1 species
AGUGAACGCUGGCGGCGUGCUUAACACAUGCAAGUCGAACGAGAACGGAUUAUAGCUUGCUAUAAUUGUCAGCUAAGUGGCGCACGGGUGAGUAAUGUAUAGGUAAUAUGCCUUUUACUAAGGAAUAACAAAUGGAAACGUUUGCUAAUACCUUAUACUCCUUAUUAACCUAAGUUAAUAAGGGAAAGAUUUAUUGGUAAGAGAUUAGCCUGUAUUGUAUCAGUUAGUUGGUGGGGUAAUGGCUUACCAAGACUAUGACACAUAACUGGUUUGAGAGGAUGAUCAGUCACACUGGAACUGAGACACGGUCCAGACUCCUACGGGAGGCAGCAGUGGGGAAUAUUGCACAAUGGACGAAAGUCUGGUGCAGCAACGCCGCGUGGAGGAUGACACAUUUCGGUGCGUAAACUCCUUUUAUAUGAGAAGAUAAUGACGGUAUUAUAUGAAUAAGCACCGGCUAACUCCGUGCCAGCCGCCGCCGAAA